GUGAAUUGUGGAGCAACUGUACCAAGAAUGAACUUUGAAAAAAAUCACAGGCCUAUAUUGUUCCAAAAUUGGCUCCACACUUUGACUUUACUAGUUCUGAUGCUGAUGAGAAUUAUGCAGUGCCAACUUUUGGGCUCUUUGGUGAUUAAAUGAUUGAUUUAUACUUUAAAAGUUAUAAGUUAUAGCUAUCCGGCAUUCUGUUACGAAAUGACCUCAAAUUGUUUUUUUUUAACAGAUGAAGAAUGUGAUGAAGAUUAAAGAACGUGUUCUUGAAGAAUUGUGGUGCCAGCUGAAAAAAAAAAUUAUAUUUUUAUUGUUGGUGC
rnacentral:lncRNA from 1 species